rnacentral:rRNA from 1 species
GAUGAACGCUGGCGGCGUGCCUAAUACAUGCAAGUCGAGCGAACGGACGAGUAGCUUGCUUCUCUGAUGUUAGCGGCGGACGGGUGAGUAACACGUGGAUAACCUACCUAUAAGACUGGGAUAACUUCGUGAAACCGGAGCUAAUACCGGAUAAUAUUUUGAACCGCAUGGUUCAAAAGUGAAAGACGGUCUUGCUGUCACUUAUAGAUGGAUCCGCGCUGCAUUAGCUAGUUGGUAAGGUAACGGCUUACCAAGGCAACGAUGCAUAGCCGACCUGAGAGGGUGAUCGGCCACACUGGAACUGAGACACGGUCCAGACUCCUACGGGAGGCAGCAGUAGGGAAUCUUCCGCAAUGGGCGAAAGCCUGACGGAGCAACGCCGCGUGAGUGAUGAAGGUCUUCGGAUCGUAAAACUCUGUUAUUAGGGAAGAACAUAUGUGUAAGUAACUGUGCACAUCUUGACGGUACCUAAUCAGAAAGCCACGGCUAACUACGUG